rnacentral:rRNA from 1 species
GACGAACGCUGGCGGCGUGCUUAACACAUGCAAGUCGAACGAAGUGGCGAACGGGUGAGUAAUACGUGGGUAACCUGCCCUGCACUUCGGGAUAAGCCUGGGAAACUGGGUCUAAUACCGGAUAGUGUGGGAUGGGCCCGCGGCCUAUCAGCUUGUGGGUGGGGUAAUGGACUAGCACGGCGGCGACGGGUAGCCGGCCUGAGAGGGUGGACGGCAACAUUGGGACUGGGACACGGACCAGACUCCUACUGGAGGCAGCAGUGGGGAAUAGUGCACAAUGGGCGGAAGCCUGAUGCAGCGACGCCGCGUGGGGGAUGACGGCCGUCGGGUUGUAAACUCCUUUCACCAUCUACGCGGUAGAUGUAGAAGAAGCACCGGCUAACUACGUGCCAGCAGCCGCGGUAAUAU